ACCAGCACCGAAGAAAAGUGUGAUUAUUGUGACAACUGAUUUGUUGUGAUGCCUCGGACAAAGAGCUUUCGACGAUCCCAGGCUGCCAAAAAGAGGAUGGCUGACCGGCUGGCUGCUGAUCCUGAAGAGGCUCUGCCACCUCUUAAAAAAUGUGCAGAAAUACAAAAGCAUUGUGUGUAUCACAAUGUGCCUCAAACACCCAAUUUUGCCGAUUUUCCCAAUGAAUCCAAUUUUCCCAAUGAACCCAAUACUCACAAUGAACCUCUUGAUAAUUUUGAUGAAGCUAUGAUUACACUUGAAAAACCUUUGGCAAAACUUGACAAGAAAAAAGCAGUUUCUAAAACUGUACCUGAAUUUUCCUCUCUGCCUAUGUUUACUGGUAAACAUACUAGGAUGACAAUGAAUGCUGUUUCUAAUUUAUGUUCACCAACAUCAAUCAUCAGAGGCUCUUUUCACCAAGGAGAUGACCGUUUUGGCCAAAACAUGGGAAAGCAAUGUGCUGCCAACAGUUUAACUGCACUUAUGUUGUGUAAGAUGAAAAGUUUAUUUCAGUGGACCAGAAGUGACCUUGAUGCUGUUUUGCUGAAUGGUGAUGAGCUGUACAGUGCCAUGAGAAAUGCUGGAAAAAUCAACGAUCCUGGACGAGGCUAUAUACGUGUUGAUGAGCUGCCUGACACACACACUCUGAAUAAUUGUAGAUUUUCAAUAAACUAUGAUCAAACGU
rnacentral:lncRNA from 1 species